UAGCAGAUUUCAGGCAUUGCAUCAGCCUUCCUUUCUCAGACCACGCUGACCGCGCAGGGACUCUGGUUUUGUAUCACUCUGGCUUCACUGACACAAAAACUUGCCACAAAUACAUUUCAGCUGCAAGAGCCGUCGUCCAGCUUGUGAGAAGUCGUCUGUAAGGUGAUCUCAGGCCCUGUCCUAGGUCACACAAGGAGAAGAUUGACCACAGGGGUUGUUGGUGGUGGUGGUGGAAAGGUAUCGGAGUGCAGCCAGAGUCAAUUCCAACCCAACAUCCCUUCAACAGAGAAAACGAUGAAGGAUUUAAAAGGGUUUCAUUUUCAUUGGAUUUGAAUUGAGGUUUACAGGAAACUAGUGUAGAACUAUCUAAGUUCAUUACCUGACGCACAUAACGCAGAAAAUGCAACGCCAUAAACUCUAAUCUUCCCAAUUUGCACAUGAGUAUUUUGGCAUUGCAUCAGACACCAAGAGAUAACAAACGCAUAAACUAUUGCUCAAUUGGCAAGCGGCUAAGCAAAAAGCUUUGAUAAGUAGGGAUUCUUUUGGUCCCUGAGAAUAAAGGUCCAGAUUACGCCCUAAGUAUACAGACUCAAGAAACGAUUGACCAGCUGGCUUUCUAUUUUUAUUAUUAAUAAUAUUAAUAACAAAAUAAUGGAACCAACAAAGUUCUCUCAUCUGUUGU